GGGUGUGCAUAGGCAAACUGCCCUGUGGCAGUUAUGGGGGAAACAGACGCACUACCCCUGAGGAGCUGACGCACAUUAUUGGAAUGGAUCUUCUUCUGUCUCUUCUCUAUGGGGAAGUGGCAGCAGUGGUAUGAAAUGGUGAGGCUACCUACUUUCCAGCUCAGUAAAAAGCCAAAAAGAUUAAAGACAGUGGCUUCACUCAUUCCAUUUCUCAACGAGGCACACUCCCCACCGUCGCCUAUACCUGGUGCCCCGAACCCAAGGGAAAAUGUCACAAAAUGGCACAGAAAUGCUGGGGUCCAGAAAGGGUUCUGGGACAGCGGGGGCACCGGCCCGCGCCCAGGGAAAGUGGUUAAGCAAGGUGAGGGUCAUGCACCGUGCAGGAGCCCGAGGUGAUACGCGAAUGGUGCCCGCGUGCGGAGGGCCAAGGGGCAGGGAAGCGGGCGCGGGCGGCCUGAAGGGGCAUGGCGAAGCCGGGCCGCACUCACGAAAUGCUGGUAGAAGCGGACCAGCCGCGGCUUCCCAUGAUUGUUGAAAACCAGAAUCGCCUGAAUCAUCUUGGCCGGCCACGCUUCGCUCAACACCAGCUACUCCCAGAAAGCAUCUUCUUCCGCCACAACAUAGGCAUUUCCGGUUGGUGCGCGGCUAACAGCGGCACCUGGAAACUUGGUCCCGGCGUCCAGGAGCCCGAGCACAAAAGGGUCCGGCCUUGCGGGAGAAGGCAGCGAGCUCGCCGGGGGAAGGUAGGCGGGGACGCAAAGAAGGGCCGGCACCUGGGCCAGAGUGGGUGGCCAGUCAGAGCCUGGCCAGGAUGCGAACCCGACGGCCUGGGAUCCCGGGCCCAGGGCAAAGCCGAGCACAUCGGAAAGGCAGAUCCAGAAGCUGAUACUUGACCAGCAGCGGAGCUGCCAAGUCGAAGAGGCAGGGGGAGCCUGCCUUUCUCACCUUCCGCACCCAAACUGGCAGGCCCGCCUUCUCCCCAGCGUUUGCAGAACGUUCCGCGGUGUUGGAGAUGCCGGUUAAUUUAGCCAUUCCUCGGUUAAGGAAUAUUUAGUUCAUUUUUAUUUUUCAGUAUUACAGACAAUGCUGCAGUGAGUCAUAUAGCUGUCUCCUCUUGCAAGUGUGCCGUUUCUCCAUGGUAGCUGGUGAAUGGUGGUCAAGGGAUCUUUAGUGCAAUCCCAUUUAAAAGGUACCGGCGAUCCCAAAUUGGCCAAGUUAAUUGUUUUUGCUUUUCCUUUUAAUGACCUAGCGUGGGUGAAUAGAGCACGUCUGUACACUGCAGAUGGAGCUGUACAUAGAGCCGCAGAUCUAUCCAGAGGACUGUUUGGCACUAUGUAUCAAAAACCUUUAAAAUAUAUAACAUUAGACCCAGCGUUUCCAGCUCUAGAAUUUACAAUAAAAUGAUUAUGGGUAUGUGAAAAGAUUUAGCCUCAGGAACAUGCAUCUCAGCAGUGUUAUUACAGGAGAAAAAUGGGAAGCAAAGUAAUUAUUCCAAAAUGAGAAUUGGGAAUGCAUUGUUCUACAUGCAGAUGAGAAAUAUUAAACAUGCAUGUAUUUAUUAAAAAUCAUGAUGUGAAAGAUUUAUGAUAU